UAAUACGAAGGGGGCUAGCGUUGCUCGGAAUUACUGGGCGUAAAGGGAGCGUAGGCGGACAUUUAAGUCAGGGGUGAAAUCCCGGGGCUCAACCUCGGAAUUGCCUUUGAUACUGGGUGUCUUGAGUAUGAGAGAGGUGUGUGGAACUCCGAGUGUAGAGGUGAAAUUCGUAGAUAUUCGGAAGAACACCAGUGGCGAAGGCGACACACUGGCUCAUUACUGACGCUGAGGCUCGAAAGCGUGGGGAGCAAACAGGAUUAGAUACCCUGGUAGUCCACGCCGUAAACGAUGAUUGCUAGUUGUCGGGAUGCAUGCAUUUCGGUGACGCAGCUAACGCAUUAAGCAAUCCGCCUGGGGAGUACGGUCGCAAGAUUAAA
rnacentral:rRNA from 1 species